CCCCUCCCUGAAUCGCGACUGGAGAGUUUCCAGUAUUCUACCAGGAUUGGCUUUGGGAGGGAGAGUCAAGCAGAGGCCUGUCCAUUCCAUUCCUAGCUUGGGCAGUGGCUAGAGAGUGGAAGGCAGUCUGCUACGAGU
rnacentral:snoRNA from 2 species